CCUACGGGUGGCUGCAGUGAGGAAUAUUGGUCAAUGGGCGGAAGCCUGAACCAGCCAAGUAGCGUGCAGGAUGACGGUCCUAUGGAUUGUAAACCUCUUUUGUCGGGGAGCAAAAAGGCCUCGUGAGGCCACAAGUGAGAGUACCCGAAGAAAAAGCAUCGGCUAACUCCGUGCCAGUAGCCGCGGUAAUACGGAGGAUGCGAGCGUUAUUCGGAUUUAUUGGGUUUAGAGGGUGCGUAGGCGGACUGGAAAGUCAGCGGUAAAAUCGAGAGGCUCAACCUCUUUCCGCCGUUGAAACUGUCGGUCUUGAGUGGGCGAGAAGUAUGCGGAAUGCGCGGUGUAGCGGUGAAAUGCAUAGAUAUCGCGCAGAACUCCGAUUGCGAAGGCAGCAUGCCGGCUCCACACUGACGCUGAGGCACGAAAGCGUGGGUAUCGAACAGGAUUAGAUACCCCUGUAGUC
rnacentral:rRNA from 1 species